rnacentral:rRNA from 1 species
UGGGGAAUAUUGCACAAUGGGGGAAACCCUGAUGCAGCGACGCCGCGUGAGCGAAGAAGGUUUUCGAAUCGUAAAGCUCUGUCCUAUGAGAAGAUAAUGACGGUAUCAUAGGAGGAAGCCCCGGCUAAAUACGUGCCAGCAGCCGCGGUAAUACGUAUGGGGCGAGCGUUGUCCGGAAUUAUUGGGCGUAAAGGGUACGUAGGCGGUCUAUUAAGUCAGGUGUGAAAGCGUGAGGCUUAACCUCAUUAAGCACUUGAAACUGAUAGACUUGAGUGAAGGAGAGGAAAGUGGAAUUCCUAAUGUAGCGGUGAAAUGCGUAGAUAUUAGGAGGAAUACCGGUGGCGAAGGCGACUUUCUGGACUUUUACUGACGCUCAGGUACGAAAGCGUGUCGAGCAAACAGG